rnacentral:rRNA from 1 species
GACGAACGCUGGCGGCGUGCUUAACACAUGCAAGUCGAACGGACAGGCCCUGCUUUUGUGGGGUGCUCGAGUGGCGAACGGGUGAGUAACACGUGAGUAACCUGCCCUUGACUUUGGGAUAACUUCAGGAAACUGGGGCUAAUACCGGAUAGGAGCUCCUGCUGCAUGGUUGGGGUUGGAAAGUUUCGGCGGUUGGGGAUGGACUCGCGGCUUAUCAGCUUGUUGGUGGGGUAGUGGCUUACCAAGGCUUUGACGGGUAGCCGGCCUGAGAGGGUGACCGGCCACAUUGGGACUGAGAUACGGCCCAGACUCCUACGGGAGGCAGCAGUGGGGAAUAUUGCACAAUGGGCGGAAGCCUGAUGCAGCAACGCCGCGUGCGGGAUGACGGCCUUCGGGUUGUAAACCGCUUUCGCCUGUGACGAAGCGUGAGUGACGGUAAUGGGUAAAGAAGCACCGGCUAACUACGUG